GCUUCCCCCCGCCACCGCCUGUCCCCCGCCCUCGCCGCCUCCACCGCCCUCUCCGACUCAGCCGCUGGUUCCGCCGCCUCUGCCGAUUCCGCCUCCUCCGAUUGCGACGAGGAGAUGAUUAGCCUGUUGCGCCGGUGGCGGAGCGGCUAUGGUGUAUGGCGAACUGCAUGGCGUUGACGAGGUUCUCGGUGCGAGUACGAGCCGGGGCGGUAGCUGAUGCACGUCAGAGACGGGGAAGCUUCCUGCCCUGCGUCAUCCCGAUAUGUAAG
rnacentral:sRNA from 1 species